rnacentral:tRNA from 1 species
GCCUGUAUGAUGAAAUUGGAAAACAUGGCAGACUUAGAAUCUGUUGAGGUAACACUCUUGUAGGUUCAACUCCUACUACAGGCACCA